rnacentral:misc_RNA from 1 species
AACGUCUUGGCAUCGGAUCACGGCGCGCAUCGCUGCAUAAGGCGAAGUGGUGACGAACUCCGCCGCAAAGGGCGGAGUGGUGACGGCAUGAUGGCCGCCGUUUCGUCCGCGAAAACCGGCCGGGUCCGCCGGUGGGAUACCAUAGCAGUUAGGAAUUCGUUCCGAUUGACUCUUGGCAUAAUGUAUACCAAUCUCAGCCCAUCAGAGAGGACAUGGCUGUCCUCCAGCAUGAACCGUCCACGGGGAAGGUCAUCCCCACCAGCGAGGAGGUUGUGAUGAGAGUCGGAGAC